rnacentral:rRNA from 1 species
UACAGAGGUGGCAAGCGUUGUUCGGAAUUACUGGGCGUAAAGGGCGCGUAGGCGGUUUCGUAAGUCCUGUGUGAAAUCCCCCGGCUCAACUGGGGAACUGCACAGGAAACUGCGAGGCUUGAGUUCGGGAGAGGGAUGCGGAAUUCCAGGUGUAGCGGUGAAAUGCGUAGAUAUCUGGAGGAACACCGGUGGCGAAGGCGGCAUCCUGGACCGACACUGACGCUGAGGAGCGAAAGCCAGGGGAGCAAACGGG